GCCCAGCUAGCUCUGUCGGUAGAGCAUGAGACUUUCAGUCUCAGGGUUGUGGGUUCGAGCCCAUGUUGGGCA
rnacentral:tRNA from 1 species